GUGGCAUUUGAGAUAGAAAGACAACUGAUACUUCGAAAGACAGAAGCACCGAGACGCUCUGCUAGGGCACGCGUCUUCCACCACCGAACACCGACACUCAGAGCAGCGUUCUUCACACAACACGGAGAGCAAAACGAAGAAUAAAGCGCUUGAAGAGAUGCUGCCCGGGAGAAAGAAGGGGGUGGCGGCGGAAGACGCCAUAAGGGUCAUUGGGUUGGGAUACGAUCUUACCAACGAUCUCAGGCUCAAAUUCUGAGAGAAUGAUUCCAGACUCAUCGCUAUGGACGAUGACAACCUCCGAACUGUGGAACUCCCUCCUCAGAUUUCUAUCCCUAAUGUUCCCAAAUCCAUCAAGUGUGAUAAAGGCGACCGCAUGAGACUGUGCUCCGAUGUUCUCUCUUUUCAGCAGAUGUCAGAGUAGUUCAACCAGGAGUUGUCUCUGUCUGGUAAGAUUCCAACGGGCCAUUUCAACGUUGCAUUUGGGUUUACAUCAGUUUGGCAAAAGGAUGCCGCCGAUACCAAGACUCUUGCUUUUGAUGGUGUAUCCAUCACACUCUACAACAUUGCAUUUGAGAGGGCGCAGGUAGUUCUUCAAGAUCAUGUCAAACGAGCUGUUCCUUCAUCCUGGGAUCCGGCUGCCUUGACAAGAUUCAUCGAGAAGUAUGGAACUCAUGUUAUAGUUGGGGUGAAAAUAGGAGGAACUGAUAUAAUCUAUGCAAAGCAGCAGUACUCAUCUACUGUCCAACCUGCCGUUGUACAGAAAAAGUUGAAGGACAUGGCAGAUGAAUUCUUCGUUGGUGGGAGGGUUAAUGAAAAGGCAAAGGUUUGAAAUUUUUCUAGUUCAAUUUUAUUUUUAUUGUAAAUUCUAUAAGGUUACACCAUUUUACAAUUAGGGUAUGUUCUUUUUUGUAUGAUACCUGAUGAGCGAGUUGAAAGAUGGAAUUAGUGGUAUACUACAGUUGUGAAGGGAAACUUUUGAAUCAAUUUCUUUUUUAUCAAGUGGAAGUAAGAAAGAAUAUAUGAAAUGUAAGUCCAGCAAGAUUUGUACUAGCAUUCACUGUCUGGGAUGGAGAUGAAAAAAUGAAGAUUGUAAGAUUUGUGUUUCGUGGAUGUGGAAUUUAGAGGUGGAGAUUUGAGUUUGACCAUAUAUUUAGUUAGUGUGGGAUUUCCAACAUAACCACUUGUGGAUGGUAGUCUAAUAAAACUCGAUAGCAGAUGAUAGGUUCCUAGACCGUUAGUUAGUUAUAUUCAGUUUCUCUUAUUUCUCUUCUCAUACACUAACCAUCCUUUCUUAUUCUUAUCCCUAUCAGCAUAUGAUAUGAUAGACUCAACAAACUUUGAUAGGAUAGACCUUGAUACCAUCCUUAGAAAGUAAACUUUAAGUCUAAAUCAGUUUGGAAGGUAGGUUUGUACUCAAUUAUAUCCAAUAGUUUGACAACAUUUCUAAUUGACAUCUUACAUGCUCUUGAUGUUGAGAUUUUAAGAUUAAUAAGAAAUGUCCUUGAGGACUUGUAUACAUUGGCUUAUUACACCCUUCUCCUUAAUCCUAUACUUAUAGGAUUAUAAGAGUGGGAUACACCUCACACAACUCAUACACACUCACACAACUCAUAAUUCUAACACUCUCCCUCAAGUUAGAGCAUACAAAUUGUAUGAACCAAGUUUGGAAUAGAUAAACUCGAUUUUGAAACAUAUGAUUUUUCUUCAAGAGUGUGAGGCAAUGUGUUAUCACAUGUCAACGAACAACUAAUAGCAGCUUGUGAAACUUCAACUUCAAAAGUGGAUGAUGAAGAGCAGCGGUGGACAACAAUGAUGGAGAGUGGUGGACAAUGACAAUCUAGAAGGACGAAAUCUCUCAUCAAAAAAAGGAUGGGGCCUGCAGUGGCUAAAUGCUACAAAACUGCAGGGACAACCAUCUCUGAGACUGAUGGGUGAUGGGGCCUGUAGUGGCUGAAAGCUACAAAGCUACAAGGACAACCAUACUUGUGUGGCUUAAACUGCCAUACUUGACUUGCAGUGUCUUGGAAACAUACUCCCCCUCACUGUGAACGGUGGAAACAGUGAAAUUGUUGACUGAAGUUGGAAGCAUCACAGUUGCUUUAGGUAAACACAGAUAAAUGAAGUCGACACAACAAUAGGCAACAAACAACAACAAACUGCAAAAAUGGAUGAAGGUCUGCAGUGGCGAACAACAAUAAAUUGCAGAGACUGGAUUUCCAUCACUAACCUAUGGAGAGCCUUCAAUGGCUAACAACAAAUCUGCAAGAAAUAACUGUUCUGCAGAGGCUAACAACAACAGACCUGCAAGGACUUACUACCUUGCAGCGGCUUAAACUUUUUCUUCUCACGACUGAACAACAUGAACGUGAAGGUGGAAGAAUUGGUGAGAACCUAUCUGUACGAGGGUUUGGACAAAUUUGAAACCCAUAACUUCAAAAGAUUCAUAUCAGCGGACGAUCUCAAAGAACAACUCCACAUGAGUUGUUACAGCACGACAUUUGCAGUGCAAAGAGAGGUUGGAGGUCCAAAGUUCUUUGUCGGACAACUCCCAAAUGGUGAUACUUAGCACUGUAUCACAAGAAAUACGGGCCAAACUUAGCCCAAGAAGAAAGUGACCAACGAUCCAAGAAACUGACGCAUUUGCGUCUAGAGUGGUCAUUUUUGGUCUUCCAAAUUUUGAACAGAUUGAUGAUGAAGGUAUUCCAAGUGGUCUUUGAGAACAUACGGGAAGCUGAGGAAAAAUGGAAGGUCAAGGCUCCUAUAGAUGUGGAAUCGGAGGCCUUCACAAUUUUCCAGCAAAUUAAUUUCCAGGUUGAAUUGGAUGGCACCUUUCAGAUUGGAGAAGAAAAUAGCAUAGGCAGAAGAGGUAAAACUGGUUGCAGUGACUGACUACAGUGGCGGCAAAAGCAGUAGGCUAGAGCAAGGCGUGAUGGGCUGAGAAAAAAAAGAAAGCAACAACACGUGAUGGGCUGGAAGUGGAGAAUGCUCUCAUGUAUCCAGCAUUGGUGUGCACAAAAUGAAGAAGCAGCAGCAGCCUUGGAUGCACACAACGUGGGCUGAUUCACGUCCAGCGUUGGGGAGAAUUGGCAACGUCCAACAAGGCAAGGCUGGCAGAAGCGCAUCCCAUUUCCACAUGGAACACUACGGCCCAAAGAGAAAGCACGUUGCUGGCUGCAUUCAAUGAGCAAGGCGUGAUGGGCUGAGAAAAAAAAAGAAAGCAACAACACGUGAUGGGCUGGAAGUGGAGAAUGCUCUCAUGUAUCCAGCAUUGGUGUGCACAAAAUGAAGAAGCAGCAGCAGCCUUGGAUGCACACAACGUGGGCUGAUUCACGUCCAGCGUUGGGGAGAAUUGGCAACGUCCAACAAGGCAAGGCUGGCAGAAGCGCAUCCCAUUUCCACAGGGAACACUACGGCCCAAAGAGAAAGCACGUUGUUGGCUGCAUUCAAUGAGAAAAGUGGGCUGGUUCAUUCCAGCAGCUUGGGAGGUGCAGCACCACAGUUCGGAAUCCAGCAACGACAGCACGUGAAGGAAGAAUAAAAAGCAAGGAGCUCACAUGGGCUGUCAUCGCAUCCUGCCUUGAUCUGUGAGCUUUGGGUUAUGAUGGUGACAGCAACGGAACAAAACAGAGAAAUCAGAGGUGUGCAGCUUGUGGUUACUGUGAUGAUAGGCAGAGUGGAUGAAGUGAAUCGUUGGGAAGCAAAUCUAACUCAGAUGGCCUUCUUCAUUGGAAGGAAGCUAGAGGGGAAAUGGUGGAAAUAUUUCAUCAGCUUAAUAAGAGGAGAGCAAGAUGUCCUGGCAACAGGGACAAUCCAAAUCACGUUGCUGGCUGCAUUCAAUGAGAAAAGUGGGCUGGUUCAUUCCAGCAGCUUGGGAGGUGCAGCACCACGGUUCGGAAUCCAGCAACGGCAGCACAUGAAGGAAGAAUAAAAAGCAAGGAGCUCACAUGGGCUGUCAUCGCAUCCAACCUUGAUCUGUGAGCUUUGGGUGAUGAUGGUGACAGCAACUGAACAAAACAAAGAAAUCAGAGGUGUGCAGCUUGUGGUUACAAUGAUGAUAGGCAGAGUGGAUGAAGUGAAUCGUUGGGAAGCAAAUCUAACUCAGUGGCCUUCUCCAUUGGAAGGAAGCUAGAGGGGAAAUGGUGGAAAUAUUUCAUCAGCUUAACAAGAGGAGAGCAAGAUGUUCUGGCAACAGGGACAAUUCAAAUCUGGUGCAUUGAAAAGCUGUGAUGGUGGUUGUCGACUAGGUCGAGAUGACGAACAACAAAGAGGACGUGGUGAGGUCCAAAAGAGGGAGGCCCAAGAGGCCAAAAGAGCUCAGGAGAGUGAGGCGAUCAGAACGCCAGUGGCGCGGUGAACUUCCGGCCAGGGAAGGGUGGCGUGUGAAGAGUACGCACCCGAGACCAGGUGAAGACAGGCGGCGCGUGGAGGCGCGUUGGGCGGAGUCUGGUCGUGACUCCGACGGGGUUGGCCGUCGCUCAAGGAGGCGGUCCAAAUCCGCUGGUUACCGGACGAAACUGGUACGGUGGCUGGCGGCGGACGGUGGUUGACGGCGACUAAUUUGGUGCUCGUGGCGGCGCGUUAGGAGGAGUCUGGUCUCGUCUCCGGCGUGGUUGGCCGUCGCUUGAAGAGACGGUCCAGAUCCGCUGGUCACUGGUCCAAUCUGUGACGAUGGCCGGCAGCGAACGACGGUUGCCGACGACAGACGGUGGUCGGCGAUGGUUGAUAGCAGAGAUUGAUGGGGUCGCGGCUAGCUAAGAAAGACAUGAACUUGGCUGGGCAACUGCAUGACUGUCCAGAAAAGCUUGAAAUACUAAACUUUUAGGGGGCCGUCGGCGGCCAGCCGGCGGCGAACAGGAAAGACAGUCGGUAGGAUCAGAGAAAUGGCUCUGAUACCAUGUUGAGAUUUUAAGAUUAAUAAGAAAUGUCCUUGAGGACUUGUAUACAAUGGCUUAUUACACCCUUCUCCUUAAUCCUAUACUUAUAGGAUUAUAAGAGUGGGAUACACCUCACACACCACUCAACUCACACACACAACUCAUACACACUCACACAUAACUCAUAAUUCUAACAAAAACAAAAUCACGUCAAUAUGGAUAAUGAAUGUAGAGGCGUGAAUGUAGAGGCAUGCUGUGACUCAGUAGAAAAAGUAAAAGUGACUAGUUGUUGAAAAUGUCACCACCAAUAAUAUCGUGCUAGAAAUUAUUUUUUUCUAGUGUGGUGGACUAUGAAAAUGCUCCUCAUGCGGCUGCUGUAGCAACUGCAGCCACUCCUGCUCUAGCUGCUCUUGUCCGGGGAGUAGCUGCUCCUGCUCCUGCCAUUGCUGCAGCAACUCCUGCCCUGAUAGUGGUGGCUGCUGCUGCUGUCCUAAUAAUGGUUGCUGCUGCUGCUCUUGCCACGGUAGUGGCUGCUGCUGUAGCUCCUGCCACGGUAGUGGCUGUUGCAGCAACUCCUGCUCUUGCCACGGUAGUGGCUGUUCCAGCAACUCCUGCUCUUGCCACGGUAGUGGCUGCUCCAGCAACUCCUGCCCUUGCCACGGUAGUGGCUGCUCCAGCAACUCCUGCCCCUGCCACGGUAUUGGCUGCUCCAGCAACUCUUCUAGUAGUGACUGCUGCAGCAACUCUUCUAACAGUGGCUGCUCCUGCAACUCCUGUCCUAACAGUGGGUGCUGCAGUGGCUCCUGUCCUCCUAGUUGCUGCUCUUGCUCUUGUAGUAACUUUUGUUUUUUUCGUUUAACCUGUUAAUUAAAUUUUCAAUUUGUUAAUAAUAACUCAGUUAUUAAAAACAAUUAAAUACACAUAAACCUAACCUGUAAAUGGUUUUUGACUUGGCCAACAUUCAUGUUGGGUAUUCUCAAAAUUUCGUGUAUUUUUUUGGGUGUGGCCUCUAAAAGAAAACAAAAACAAUAAUUAACAAAAUAAGAUCACUCAAAAAAUGGACAAUAAUUAACAAAAUAAGAUCACUCAAAAAAAUGGGUCGAUAUUAAUGAAACAUACUUGUCAAUCCUCCUAAUGUAUUAACUGCUUCCAUAAAUUCAUUAUCGAGUUGUAUUGUCCAUGUUAGUCGCCUUGGAGGUUGGGCUUGUUGGGCUUGUUGGGCUUGUUGGGCUUGUUGGGCUUGCUGGGCUUGCUGGGCUUGUUGCGUUAUUGAUUCAUAAGUGAUAAAAAUCACACUUUCUAGGAAAUUCACAUCAACAGGUUUCUUAUGACAUUGGAGUGCACCCAAGUCUAUUGCGUCAAACCGAUCCAGCCAUUCAUAAUUGGCAGAUAUCACUGCAUGUGAUGUGGUAAAAGGUUAAAAGAAUUUAAAUAAUUAUGGUAAAAAAGAUUAAAAAAUUAAUAAAGAACAAAAUACUUACUUAGAACAGGAAUAUCCUUCUUUUUGUUUUUAACAGACUCCAAUAUUUGGAGGCCAGUGUUUCUUGUAAAAGGGAUCCUAUCCCAAUCAGCCUCCAAUAUGAUAAGAUCUACUUCUGUCUUAUCAUUAAGAUGCUCUAGAAAUUGCAUGUCAUUAUUCCACGUUGUAACUGCAAAAUAUUCAAAUUAAAUUAAUAAUAAAAAAACAAUUAUUUAUAGUCAUAAAUAGAAAACUAACCCUCGUAACGAAGCCCUCGAUGACUACCAAUGCCAGAUAAAAAGUCGGAGGAGUUCUUGAUGUAAUGCAGUGUAGUUUCAUCGUGAUCAACUACAAAUAGGUUGAUCACUCUUGACAUGAUAAGAAGCAAACCUAAUAAAAAAGUGAAAAAAAAAACUCUUAAAACAGAAAAUAUUGACAACAAAACAAAGAGAAGGCACUGAAACAACAAUUUAAGAGAUUCAAUGAGUCAAGAAUAGUGAAAAUCAAGUAUUACCAUAAAAGUAUUACCAUAAAAUUCAUAAAACAAAAAUCAUCCAGGCUUGCUUUCAGUACCCACUAUUCUGACGUCACAAAACUAAACAGAUAACAUAAAUUUAAGUCAGAGGGUACUGAUCCAAACAUGUUAUCAGAUUGCACUCCUGUACCCAAAGUUAGAGCUGUCAGUUUUGGUUAAAGCCCCGGGGCUAACCUUGGCCCAAUUUAUACUUAGCCCCGUUUUUAUUGACCCACAUCUUGGGGGCUUUUUUAAAGCCCCUGGCCUUGAAAAGCCCCGUUAGAUGGGGUGUGAACGAAGGAGGGCCGAGUUAGCCCCUAGUCCCAAUUUCUUCUGAACAAAGUUCACUAAGUAUGGCCUCCCCCUCACUCUCGCCACCCCUCCCUCCACCUCCUCCCGCCGUCUCCCCUUGUCGUGCUGAACUUCGGAGGAAACCUCCGCUUACCGUGACAAGUGUUGACUGCACAAACCUCUAAGCCACCCACUGGCAAGAGGUCGCCGAUGCUGUCAUUGCACAGUGCCCCAACGCUUCCGCCACUGCCAAAACUGUCGUCCAGUGUCGCCACAAAAUGGAAAAACUCUGCAAAUACUACCGCACCGAAAUCCAAUGCCUCCGUUCCCUCCUUCUCCCUCGCCUCAUCAACAACUCCACCACUACUUUACCUUCGUCCUGGGUUCACUUCAAAUCCAUGGAUUCAAUGGAAAAAGGUCCCAACAAACCCCACACCAACACCAACUCCAACACCCCCACCAACAACCUCAAUUUCCCCGACGACAACGACGCAUUUGGAGUGGUAUCUGUUUUAUUUAAAAGUAAUGGAACCAAACACUGGAGUGACAUUUGAUGAUGUUGUUGGGGUGGAUGAAGCCAAGCAAGACUUUAUGGAGGUGGUGGAGUUUCUGAAGAAGCCUGAGAGGUUCUUCUUGUUGGUCCUCCAAGAAUUAGGAAGACCCUGUUGGCCGAGGCUAUUGCUGGUGAAGCUGGUGUUCCAUAUUUUUCAAUAUCUAAUUCUGAGUUUGUUGAGAUGUUUGUUGGUGUUGGUGCUUCUCGAGUUCGUAAUUUGUUCAAGAAGGCCAAAGAGAACGCCCCUUGCAUUGUCUUUAUUGAUGAAAUUGAUGUUGUUGGAAGACAAAGAGGAACUGGAAUUGGUGGAGGGAUAAUGUGAUAUGUACUAGAUAGAGCGUUCCCUGCAGGUUUCUAAUUCUUUUUUUACUUUGAUGAACACUUAUCAUUUUUCCAUUGACAGACCUUGUUGAGGAAACGUCUGGAACAGGAGUUGUUGGCCUUGUGUGCUUGUUUUGUUCUCCUUCUGCUUGGUUUUCAGGCAAAGGGUCUCUAGCAUGAUUUUCAGCAUACUUUGGUUUGGAUGAUUGUGCCAAAACUGCAGCUUUGACUAACCGUGGGGAAAGUUUAUGUCCAAAAGCUGCAAUGCCUCAAUGAUAGAGUAAAUUUUUUAACAUUGUCAGAGUUGAAAGUCACCAACAAUGAUACUUCUUCAGGUUCUAUUAUAUAAUUUAUGCAAUUUUAUAUCAAUUUCUAAGUUUUUGUAUAUCUAAAUUUAUGCAAUUUUAUAUCUAAAUUUUAUAGACUAUACAACAGUAACAAUGCAACUGUAACUCACAAAACUAGAUACAAGUUUAUAGACUAUACAGAGAGGACUGCAUACUCAAUCCUUAAAAAAUGUAGAAAUGAUGGACUUCAAAGAACGUAGUUUUCUAAUAAUUUCUUUAUCGGGCUUGGGAUAUCUAUUAUCAUGUAUUCAGAAAGAUAGAUAAGCAACUUCAAAGUCUUACAACUUUAGAAUUGGAGGUACGAGUAAUACUUGUUCACUCACUCUUUAAUUUGUUUUGUCAUUGUUAUGGACCUUCAAUAUUAUGCAUUUUCUUUGUAGUCUCGAUAAAAACACAUUGGAGUAUGCUGACUCAAAAAUGAACAAGUGAUGUGUUCGAGAUCUUUGCCAUUUUCAAUGAACUUCAACAAGGAAUGCUUAAAAGUACAAUAGCUGAUUGUCAUAGAACAAAUAUGGAAUGCAAAUGACAAAAGAUGCAUAUAUGAUAAUUGAUGACUUGGGAGCAUGGAUUUCAAACCUGUAAAAUCAUACGAGUGGAUGAGUUCACACCUAUCCACUGGCAUGCAAAAUUGUUUUGGUGUAAACUUGGGUAAAUUUGCACAGGCAAUAGCACAAAAUCAUGAUUCUAA